AUGACGAAAACAUUUAAGUGUGUGGAAAAUGGAGGUAAAGAUCACUGCCUUGAAAUCAAGAUGUUUGUGGUCUUUCUGAGGUAUCCACUCCUGGAUAUGGUGUUAUCCUCUCUAAUUCCUUGCGUUCCUCAUCUGAUGAAGCUUUGUGUUGCAGGGACAUCUAAGGGCAUUUUUCUGAGAGCCCAUCUGUACGGUAAGAAUGAUGGAAUGUGCGAGUGGAAGAGGAGGACACUACCAAAGUGUCCACGUGACCAAGAACCACAGAAAGCAGAGGAUUAGAAAGGCCAAGAACCACAGAAAGAGGAGGACACUACCAAAGUGUCCAAGUGACCAAGAACCACAGAAAGCAGAGGAUUAGAAAGGCCAAGACAAGAAAUAAUUACAGUAAAAUUUUGCUCAAGGCUUCACUUGAGUUAGUCACCUCCUUUAUAAUAAAGUAAGUUACAUUUAUUGUCA
rnacentral:lncRNA from 1 species